UUGUUUCAGCAACACAUAUACCAAAAUUGGAACAAUACAGAGAAGAUUAGCAUGGCCCAUGAACAAGGAAGACAUGCAAAUUCAUGAAGCAUUCCAUUUCUUU
rnacentral:snRNA from 1 species